rnacentral:rRNA from 1 species
AUUCCAGCUCCAAUAGCGUAUAUUUAAGUUGCUGCAGUUAAAAAGCUCGUAGUUGGAUUUCGGGCGGUUGACGACGGUCCGCCUCUGGUGUGCACUGCCGUUCUUCCGCCUUUCUGUCGGGGACGUGCUCCUAGGCUUCAUUGUCUGGGACACGGGUUCGACGUGGUUACUUUGAGUAAAUUAGAGUGUUCAAAGCAGGCAUCGCCUUGAAUAUAUUAGCAUGGAAUAGCACGAUAGGACUCCGGCCUAUUUUGCUGGUCUGUAGGACCGGAGUAAUGAUUAAGAGGGACAGUCGGGGGCAUUCGUAUUUCAUUGUCAGAGGUGAAAUUCUUGGAUUUAUGAAAGACGAACUUCUGCGAAAGCAUUUGCCAAGGAUGUUUUCAUCA